rnacentral:rRNA from 1 species
UACGAAGGGGGCUAGCGUUGUUCGGAAUUACUGGGCGUAAAGCGCGCGCAGGCGGUUCUCCAAGUCAGUGGUGAAAGCCCGGAGCUCAACUCCGGAACUGCCAUUGAAACUGUUGAACUUGAGGACGAGAGAGGUGAGUGGAAUUCCCAGUGUAGAGGUGAAAUUCGUAGAUAUCAAGCGGAACACCGGUGGCGAAGGCGGCCUUCUGGACAGUGACUGACGCUGAGACGCGAAAGCGUGGGGAGCAAACAGG